rnacentral:rRNA from 1 species
GUUUUGAUUAGCCCAAGUGGGAUUAGCUAGUUGGUAAGGUAAUGGCUUACCAAGGCGACGAUCCCUAGCUGGUCUUAGAGGAUGACCAGCCACACUGGAACUGAGACACGGUCCAGACUCCUACGGGAGGCAGCAGUGGGGAAUAUUGCACAAUGGGGGAAACCCUGAUGCAGCCAUGCCGCGUGUGUGAAGAAGGCUUUCGGGUUGUAAAGCACUUUCAGUGGGGAGGAAAGGGUGUAUCUUAAUACGGUACAUCUGUGACGUUACCCACAGAAGAAGCACCGGCUAACUCCGUGCCAGCAGCCGCGGUAAUACGGAGGGUGCGAGCGUUAAUCGGAAUUACUGGGCGUAAAGCGCGCGUAGGUGGUUAAUUAAGUCAGAUGUGAAAGCCCAGGGCUCAACCUUGGAACUGCAUUUGAAACUGGUUAACUAGAGUUUUGUAGAGGGUGGUAGAAUUUCAGGUGUAGCGGUGAAAUGCGUAGAGAUCUGAAGGAAUACCAGUGGCGAAGGCGGCCACCUGGACAAAGACUGACACUGAGGCGCGAAGGCGUGGGGAGCAAACGGGAUUAGAUACCCCGGUAGUCCACGCAGUAAACGAUGUCUAUUAGAAGUUUGUGGCUAUAUGCCGUGGGUUUCAAAGCUAACGCAUUAAAUAGACCGCCUGGGGAGUACGGCCGCAAGGUUAAAACUCAAAUGAAUUGACGGGGGCCCGCACAAGCGGUGGAGCAUGUGGUUUAAUUCGAUGCAACGCGAAGAACCUUACCAUCCCUUGACAUCCAGAGAAUCACCUAGAGAUAGAUGAGUGCCUUCGGGAACUCUGAGACAGGUGCUGCAUGGCUGUCGUCAGCUCGUGUAGUGAAAUGUUGGGUUAAGUCCCGCAACGAGCGCAACCCUUAUCCUUACUUGCCAGCGGGUUAUGCCGGGAACUUUAGGGAGACUGCCGGUGAUAAACCGGAGGAAGGUGGGGACGACGUCAAGUCAUCAUGGCCCUUACGGGAUGGGCUACACACGUGCUACAAUGGCAAAUACAAAGGGUUGCUAACCUGCGAGGGUAUGCGAAUCUCAUAAAGUUUGUCGUAGUCCGGAUCGGAGUCUGCAACUCGACUCCGUGAAGUUGGAAUCGCUAGUAAUCGUGGAUCAGAAUGCCACGGUGAAUACGUUCCCGGGCCUUGUACACACCGCCCGUCACACCAUGGGAGUGGGCUGCAC